AUUGAACGCUGGCGGAAUGCUUUACACAUGCAAGUCGAACGGCAGCACGGGUGCUUGCACCUGGUGGCGAGUGGCGAACGGGUGAGUAAUGCACCGGAACGUAUCCAAUAAUGGGGGGAUAACGCACCGAAAGGUGUGCUAAUACCGCAUACGCCCUCGAGGGGGGAAAGGACGGGGGAGUCGUAAGACCUCGCGUUAAUGGAGCGGCCGAUGCCGGAUUAGCUAGUUGGUGAGGUAAAGGCUCACCAAGGCGACGAUCCGUAGCUGGUCUGAGAGGACGACCAGCCACACUGGAACUGAGACACGGUCCAGACUCCUACGGGAGGCAGCAGUGGGGAAUUUUGGACAAUGGGCGCAAGCCUGAUCCAGCCAUUCCGCGUGAGUGAAGAAGGCCUCGGUUGUAAG
rnacentral:rRNA from 1 species